GGGUAGAGGAAGGUGGGUCCCUGGCUAGGGCUCCACCCCCAUGAAUCUAGGGGUGCUCAAUGUCAUCACAAGGGUCCUUAAGAGGGAAAGAGGAAGCCAUGAGGGUCAGAGUCAAAGGAAGACUUGAAGAUACUACACUGAGGACUUUAAAGAUGAAGGAAGGGGCGAAAACCAAGAAUGUGGGAAGCCUCUAGAAGCUAGAGAAGGCAAGGAAACAGAUUUUCCACUAGAGCCUCCAGAAGGAACACAGCCCUGCUGACCCACUGUAAUGUCUGACCUCUAGAUGUGUAAGGGUAGUAAGACUGAAAGUCUCAGAAAGGCACUGUUACAUUCUUAUUCCACAACCAUGCAACUCAAAACUGGGGUCCUCAGCAAUGAGCGAGGGGCGAGAGAAGGCACUGUAUAAACAUGGCACAUCCUCCUGGAAAGUCAACUUUACUCAAAGGUUCUUACACACAGUGACAGCUAGCAGAGUCUAAAGUGCUGACAUUAUGACUUAGAGAUGUGAUAAAGAGAAACAUCUAUUGCAUUUUCUACAACAGCAGCAACUACAAAAAGAGACAAUAUCUAUUCAGCACCUACUGUGUUCCAGGCACACUAUAUGAAUUAUUUUGUUUAAUUUGCAAGCAAUUUUGUGAGUGGCUCGUGUGGAAUGACUUAUCCUGGAAUUUAGAGUUGAAGAUAAUCCUGAUGCUUCAAAGAGAAGAGUUGGAACACAGUCCUUUUUCUAAACAGAGGAAUUGUUGAAUAUGCAACUGGUCCUCUGACUUAACUAAUUAUUUAAUUUGGAAGUUAUAGGCUUUUUAUCACUUGAGGAGCAGCUUUCUCUGAACAAAUACAGUGUCCCCUGGGGUGUCCAAAAUUGUGACAGAAAAGUAGCGCCAGCUUGAAAUUAGCUAGUCAUCACACAGUGGCGUCAUGUGAAUGAAGACUCCCCCAAAUCUAUGACUCUCUUCUAUCCUUAUGAACUAAUUCAAUAAAUAAAUGAGCACUUUCUCAGUUCCCAAACUGAGAGCAGUUUUAAAAAAUAAUGAGAGCCCAGAUAUCUAUUUAGAGAGAUGGCGAGACAGAGGAGAGAGCAAGUUGCACACCACGAAACAAAGGGAAAGAUAAGAAGAGAGAGUGUGUCACUACUUCCCCGUGGCAGAAUCACAAUCUUCUUUUGGAUGUCAUGUUGAAAAGAUUCCCAAUUCGUAGUUCUGUGAGCUAAAGCAGAUGGAUGCUCCAUGUUGGUACAAAUUCCUAUUUGAAGCAGUGUGGUUGCAAAGAUGGGGUUUGGGUCAUUUGAUUUUCUCUGAAAAACAAUCUUGUGUAACUGUUAAAAGAAUUUAUAAUACCCAAUGCAAUGUAUCAUCCAUGAUGCUUCUUCAAAAAUGUUAAAUAAAUGCUGAAACCAGUGUU
rnacentral:lncRNA from 1 species